AUUGAACGCUGGCGGCAUGCUUUACACAUGCAAGUCGAACGGCAGCGGGGCUUCGGCCCGCCGGCGAGUGGCGAACGGGUGAGUAAUGCAUCGGAACGUGCCCAGUCGUGGGGGAGUAACACAUCGAAAGAUGUGCUAAUACCGCAUACGUCCUGAGGGAGAAAGCGGGGGAGUCUUCGGACCUCGCGCGAUUGGAGCGGCCGAUGUCGGAUUAGCUAGUUGGUGGGGUAAAAGCCCACCAAGGCGACGAUCCAUAGCUGGUCUGAGAGGAUGAUCAGCCACACUGGGACUGAGACACGGCCCAGACUCCUACGGGAGGCAGCAGUGGGGAAUAUUGGACAAUGGGCGCAAGCCUGAUCCAGCCAUGCCGCGUGAGUGAUGAAGGCCUUAGGGUUGUAAAGCUCUUUCGCCGGUGAAGAUAAUGACGGUAACCGGUAAAGAAGCCCCGGCUAACUUCGUGCCAGCAGCCGCGGUAAGUCACUAUCGA
rnacentral:rRNA from 1 species